AUUGAACGCUGGCGGCAUGCCUUACACAUGCAAGUCGAACGGCAGCACGGGGCAACCUGGUGGCGAGUGGCGAACGGGUGAGUAAUGCAUCGGAACGUACCUUUCAGUGGGGGAUAACGUAGCGAAAGUUACGCUAAUACCGCAUAUUCUGUGAGCAGGAAAGCAGGGGAUCGCAAGACCUUGCGCUGAUUGAGCGGCCGAUGUCAGAUUAGCUAGUUGGUGAGGUAAAGGCUCACCAAGGCGACGAUCUGUAGCGGGUCUGAGAGGAUGAUCCGCCACACUGGCACUGGGACACGGUCCAGACUCCUACGGGAGGCAGCAGUGGGGAAUUUUGGACAAUGGGGGCAACCCUGAUUCAGCCAUGCCGCGUGAGUGAAGAAGGCCUUCGGGUUGUAAAGCUCUUUCGGCCGGGAAGAAAUCGCACGGGCUAAUACCCUGUGUGGAUGACGGUACCGGAAUAAGAAGCACCGGCUAACUACGUGCCAGCAGCCGCCGUAAUAC
rnacentral:rRNA from 1 species